CAAAAAGGCUGUCUGCAUCCUCCCCCGUGCCUCCUUGUUCAUUUAUUAAUCCCACAACCACCCCUCAAAGCCAAGGGCUGGCAGAAGACAGGAUAUGACAUUUCCAUGUUGCAGAAUGGCCACCUGUUUAAUGGAGAACAUAGUGAGAUUGUCACCAUUUGUCUGUGUCUUUUCUUUUUAGAAAGCACCCUGUGCGCUCGGGAUGUUUUUUACUGAGGCAUUACAACAGAGACAAUCGAGGAAGUGAUGAGACACAACCCUGUGGAGCAGCUUAUUUUCAUGUCUUUGUCACUUUCCGGUCUGGGGAUGUACCGUCAAAUCGAGAGGACACCGAGACAUCUUGUAAAUGUUUACAGGUUAUGGUCAUUUUGUGAGGUCUGUCUAAAAGAAAUGAAUACUUUUCCCCCCGAAUGAACUCUGAAGGUCUGUUUAAUUUAAUGCCCACUUUCUAUGCAGGGGAAGACGCAAAAAGAAGAUGCUGAUGAGUAAAUGUGGCUUUUGCGGUUCUGGGACUCAUUUCAUGAAGGGGAUUUGCAAGGAUUCACAGUCACUUUCCAAUCGCAAGCUCGAUUUCAGGAAACAUUCUCCAAUAAAUCUUUGACUCCCCGUCUGGAGUUGCAAGGAGGAGAUUACCAGCCCUUUUCCAUCAGAUUCCCCAAGAUCUGGAGAAAGAAAAAUGAAGAUAUGCUCAUGAAUAAACUGGCGGAUCCACAAGAAAAAUUCCUCAAGAUGUUGCAGCUGGAGUCUUUCCCAGAAACCAGUAUGGGAGAGAGAGCACAUUUAUCAUCAAGGAACAGCGAAAGUAGAAGAAAUAAAUAAAUAAUGUGCACAAUGACUCUCCAGUACAAGAAUUACACAUAAAGAGGAAACUGUGUUUCCAGUAUUUAAAAGGUUGUUAUACAUCUGCUCAGCCAUGAUAGUGUUCUUCACUUCAAUUAUAUUAUACUGUGUAAUGCAUCUAUUCAUCCAUUGGUAAAGAGCCCAAUAAAAUGAUGUUUUAACAA